rnacentral:rRNA from 1 species
UACGGAGGGGACUAGCGUUGUUCGGAAUUACUGGGCGUAAAGCGCACGUAGGCGGAUUUGUAAGUCAGGGGUGAAAUCCCGGGGCUCAACCUCGGAACUGCCUUUGAUACUGCAAAUCUCGAGUCCGGAAGAGGUGAGUGGAAUUCCUAGUGUAGAGGUGAAAUUCGUAGAUAUUCGCAAGAACACCAGUGGCGAAGGCGGCUCACUGGCUCGAUACUGACGCUGAGGUGCGAAAGCGUGGGGAGCAAACAGG